ACGGUAGCAGGAGAAAGCUUGCUUUCUUGCUGACGAGUGGCGGACGGGUGAGUAAUGCUUGGGGAUCUGUCUUAUGGAGGGGGAUAACGACGGGAAACUGUCGCUAAUACCGCGUAGAGUCGGGAGACGAAAGUGCGGGACCUUAGGGCCGCAUGCCAUGAGAUGAGCCCAAGUGUGAUUAGGUAGUUGGUGGGGUAAAGGCCUACCAAGCCGACGAUCGCUAGCUGGACUGAGAGGAUGGCCAGCCACACCGGGACUGAGACACGGCCCGGACUCCUACGGGAGGCAGCAGUGGGGAAUAUUGCGCAAUGGGGGCAACCCUGACGCAGCCAUGCCGCGUGAAUGAAGAAGGCCUUCGGGUUGUAAAGUUCUUUCGGUGAUGAGGAAGGUUGGUGUGUUAAUAGCAUGCCAACUUGACGUUAAAUACAGAAGAAGCAC
rnacentral:rRNA from 1 species